GAUGAACGCUAGCGGCAGGCCUAACACAUGCAAGUCGAGGGGCAGCGCGGUGCAGCAAUGCACUGGCGGCGACCGGCGUACGGGUGCGUAACGCGUAUGCAACCUGCCCCGCACCGGGGGAUAGCCCGCCGAAAGGCGGAUUAAUACCCCAUGGUCCCGGGUGUCCGCAUGGGCUUCCGGGUAAAGCCUUGGUGGUGCGGGAUGGGCAUGCGUGCCAUUAGCUGGGUGGUGGGGUAACGGCCCACCAGGGCAACGAUGGCUAGGGGUUCUGAGAGGAUGGUCCCCCACACUGGUACUGAGACACGGACCACACUCCUACGGGAGGCAGCAGUGAGGAAUAUUGGUCAAUGGGCGGAAGCCUGAACCAGCCAUGCCGCGUGCGGGAAGAAGGCCCUACGGGUUGUAAACCGCUUUUCCCCGGGAAGAAUAACCCCGACGGGUCGGGGGAUGCCGGUACCGGGGGAAUAAGGAUCGGCUAACUCCGUGCCAGCAGCCGCGGUAAUACGGAGGAUCCGAGCGUUAUCCGUAUUUACUGGGUUUAAAGGGUGCGUACGCCGCCCUGCAAGUCAGCGGUGAAAUGUGGC
rnacentral:rRNA from 1 species